AUUGAACGCUGGCGGCAUGCUUUACACAUGCAAGUCGAACGGUAACAGGCCGCAAGGUGCUGACGAGUGGCGAACGGGUGAGUAAUGCAUCGGAACGUGCCCAGUCGUGGGGGAUAACUACUCGAAAGAGUAGCUAAUACCGCAUACGAUCUAUGGAUGAAAGCGGGGGACCGUAAGGCCUCGCGCGAUUGGAGCGGCCGAUGUCAGAUUAGGUAGUUGGUGGGGUAAAGGCUCACCAAGCCAACGAUCUGUAGCUGGUCCGAGAGGACGACCAGCCACACUGGGACUGAGACACGGCCCAGACUCCUACGGGAGGCAGCAGUGGGGAAUUUUGGACCAUGGGCGCAAGCCUGAUCCAGCAAUGCCGCGUGCAGGAAGAAGGCCUUCGGGUUGUAAACUGCUUUUGUACGGAACGAAACGGCUCUGGUUAAUACCCGGGGCUAAUGACGGUACCGUAAGAAUAAGCACCGGCUAACUACGUG
rnacentral:rRNA from 1 species